UGAGCAAUCUGCCCUUCUCUUUGGAAUAAGCGUUGGAAACGACGUCUAAUGCCGAAUACGACCUCCUUUCGCAUGAUCGGAGGUGGAAAGCUCCGGCGGAGAAGGAUGAGCUCGCGGCCUAUCAGCUAGUUGGUGUGGGUAAUGGCCCACCAAGGCGACGACGGGUAGCCGGCCUGGAGGGGGGUGACCGGCCACACUGGGACUGAGACACGGCCCAGACCUCCGUACGGGAGCAGCAGG
rnacentral:rRNA from 1 species